UUCGCUCCACACAGGGGUGGAGAAAGAGAGAGAGAGAGAUGGCAAAGGAAGUGCUCCUGUCUAGCGUCUCAAAACGUCGGUGUCUUUCUUCUUCGCUCCAGAGGUAGAGAGAGAGAGAGAGAAUGAGGGGAAUUGAAAUCGAUGCUUGAGGUAGAGAGAGAGAGAGUAUCGGUGCCCAAGUGGGAACAGCUGCAUGUUCCGUCCCAGAUUCAAAUCGACGGCGGCCAUGGCUGUUGGGAUGAAGAGUCGAUCUGUUUUUAGGAUUUUGUGGGUGUUCAGAAAGCGGAGAGUUCAGUGAAAGAGCUCGGUUUCAAUCCCAGUGGCUGUUCUUGACCUUGAUAAUGAAGAAGAGUGAGAACGAGAAGAUAGACCUGAAAUUGUUGUUGUGAAUGUAGAAAAGAAAACAGGAGAAGAUGAGAAGAAGGGUGAAAGGUCUGGUGCUUCGUGCUCAAGCUCGGAUCUUCCUUGCAUGGAUAAGCUCAGGGAUCAGAUUUCUUGAGAGUGAUUGGAUCGACCAGUUAAGGAAUAUGAUGGCUAACGGCGGAGAGGGAUCUGGUGGCGAUAUUCAAGGCGGUGAGGGAGAAGGAGAGGAAGAAGAGGUGGGCGGUGGAGGAGGAGAAGAAGAAGAAGGAGGCGGAGGUCAAGGCCAAGGAGGAGGCCAAGGUGGUGGAGGAGAAGAAGGACAAGGAGGAGGAGAAGAGUGGAAAGAGAGUUCCAAACAAAGGGAAUGGGCUUGAUAUGGAGAAAUACUCAUGGACCCAGAGUCUGUAGGAGGUCAAUAUAAUCAUUUCAGUGCCUGCUGGAACUAAAUCAAGGGAUAUUGUUUAUGAGGCCAAGAAGAACCGUCUGAAGUUUGGACUGAAGGGUCGGUCUCUUAUAAUUGAUGUUUGUCAACGUCUUCAUUCAUUUUUUCUGUACUAUGCAGCAAAAGAUAUUCUAUCAAGUGUAGGGAAGAAAACGGUGGAGUCCAUGGUGCCAUUAGCAGAGAAAACUAAAGACAUGGCCGUAUUUGCAGGUAAGACCACUCUGCAUUAUGUUGGUCAUGUUGCGGUGGAUUUGAAAGACAAGGCCGCUGUGGCAGGUUGGACUGUAGCACACGACGGAACUGAGGCACCAGUGGAGGGAACCAAAGCAGCUGCAAGAUUAGUUGCCGGAGCAGCAGGGUAUGCUGGUCAUGAGGCUGUGGAUAUUGUGUCCAUGCCUUUUGAGUGCUGCUAAAUAUGCUCUGUUGUGGUGACUGGUGAGAAAGCUGAGGAGUUCACUGCUCGGAAGAAGGUAGAGGCGAUGAGAGAAUAUGAGGCCAAGAAAGCAGCUGAAGCAAAUAGGCCCAAGGGUUCUGAGACUACUUAUCAAGGAGGAUAAUCCAAAUGCUGGGAGCAAGAGGAGACAUGGACGAAACCAGUUCAGAGGGAAUCUCAGCAUAUGCAGAGUGGCAGACCAACUGAAAAAACCAACCAGAAACCGCACAGUUAGAGAGGGAGCGCAAGAGGGCGGUACCUGGGUGCCGGGAACAAUCGGCAGGACUUGAGGUGUGAUACCGAGAGCUGUUAGUGAGACAUUGGUUGAGAUAGUUGAGAAUACGAAAAACUUUGUUAUUGGGUAGGGUGAAAAUGGAAUGGUUGAGGAGAGCGAGGAAGGGUGGAGCUCAAAUGCACAGCAAGGAGGGCAAGAAUGGAGCUCAAAUGCACAGCAAGGGAAGCAGGGGUGGAGGUCAUCUGAGAAGCAUGGCAGGCAGGAGGGGAGGUCAUCUGUGCUGGUGGUGAUGUUACUAGAACAUGAUCUACUUAAUGUUGUAAAACAGGCUAAAUCUUUUGUUAAUACAAUGAUUAUGUCAACUAUAUUUUCUAUGCUUUUGAAUUUAGUCCUUAAAUAAUGUUGUGUUAGCUCCAAAACCG